UACGUAGGGGGCAAGCGUUGUCCGGAAUCAUUGGGCGUAAAGCGCGCGUAGGCGGCCCGGUAAGUCCGUUGUGAAAGUCAAAGGCUCAACCUUUGAAAGCCGAUGGAUACUGCCGGGCUGGAGUCCGGAAGAGGCGAGUGGAAUUCCUGGUGUAGCGGUGGAAUGCGCAGAUAUCAGGAGGAACACCAACGGCGAAGGCAGCUCGCUGGGACGGUACUGACGCUGAGACGCGAAAGCGUGGGGAGCGAACAGG
rnacentral:rRNA from 1 species